CCUUCUAGUCAUUGAGGCUCCCGGGAAUCAAGCUCAUAAUAAAUAGCUUUUUAUUACCCAAAGCCGCUGUUCUGGCAGCCGAACGACAGUCCUUUGAUAGAUGGGCCGGGUAGUUUUAUUGUGUUGUGCUUACUCAGAGUUGUUAGCAGUAAAGAGAAGGCAGCAAAAGGGGGGUACUUUGGCAAAGGAAAUCUUAUGAGUAGAGCGGAGCAGCAGAUCAGAAUUCAGAAACAAGAGCGAGAGCUGAAGUGUGAUUCUCGGGCGGGCGCUUGGUCUAACACUCAUCUCCAGGAUAGAGCAGUGCCGGGCACUCGCGUCAGCCCUGCUGCCCUUCUCGGAAUCCGCUAAGAGAUGAUGCAGCCUUGGAGCCCAGCAAGCCACCAGGAAGUUUUGCCGGAUCUGAUUCCUGGGGGAUUUUCCCGUGCCUAGGAGAAUCCUGCUUGCAUUGAGCUGUAUGGAGGGCUCGAGUUUCCCAUGAGGGGCCCCCCUUGGGAAAGCCUUCUGUGCAGAAUCCAGACUCUGCUUCUCUCAGUGUGCUAUUUACCCAAAGGCUUUUCCUCACCUUUGCUGGUUUGCUGGUGUGAUUUCCAUGCACUGAGUCCUGUGUAGGGAUCCAGGAUGGAUUGCCUGUGCAUUGUCACCACAAAGCAAAACCAAGGCAAAUGCCCAGCCCAGAACUGUUCAGUGGAAGCCCCUACCUGGAUGCCUGUCCACCACUGUACUGUAAGUUACUUCAAGACUGAUUACAAUAAAAGAGAGAUGUUGUUUUAUUCUAGAAUAACCUUCUGGAAUGAGCUAGAAUAUGGUUUAAAACUUUAGAGUAGGGAAAACAUUUUGAUAAGAAAAAAAAUGCCUUUUCAGACAGCAGUAUAUUAUAAAGUCACCACGAUUAGGGAAUCUAUUUUGAGUCAGGAAACUUGCAAAGUACCUCUCUAAAUGAGUUAUUGAUGAGUUAGGUUUGCAUGGUCAUUAAAAUGAAUAUGUUUGCACAUGUGUUUUUCCAAAUAGUUGCAUAUCCAGCACUAUUUGAUCUUGAGAUGCAUUGGAGAAGAGGCUUUUAUUUUAUCAUUGUUUUGUUGACUGCUUAAUCGUGAUGAGUAAAUGGACUUGCAAAUUCCAAGUCUUCCUGGAGUAAUAAUAGACUCUGCAUUUGUGUGGACUCUACUAUCUGAGAAUUAUUCAAGUGCCUGUGAACUAAGCAGGUACUAUGCUAUUAUCCUUGGGUUGCAGAUAGAAGACUUAACCACACAGGGAGCAAGAAUAGCACAUCAAUUGCAGAGCUGGCAAGAGAUGCCAGAUACCCUAACUCUCUUUUCCUGUGCUUACUCUAUUACAUUGUGCAGUGAAGUAAAUGAAAGAAAGAGACUGAUUUGUAUGAUAGUCUCUUACCCAUGCCUUGCCUGAUAGAGAUGACAGUGGCACCUCUGGGAAUUAUCUUUGCUAUAGCUAACACUUUGCCGGGCAUGAAAUAAUGUGUGUGACAUGGACAAGAAAUCAGAAAGCCACUUUGCAGCAUUGCUCUCAUUUAACCCUCUCUAUAGGAGAUCUAGAAGUGAUGUACGGAGUCAACUAAAUACUUGCAUCUAUUGUUGAAAAACAAGCUGUGCAAAGGGGCCUCUUGACUGCCAUGACGGGCCUUUUGUGGUGUUGGAAAGUACAAUUGGGGGAGGUUAAUUUUCCUUGAGAUCAUGUAAAGGACUCUUCCUUCCUUGCCUUUGUUAGUAUCAGGGAAGAAGGGAAGAUGGGAUCACCUUUAGUCAAGGAGAUGAUAAAGCUAAAUUUUGGAGGGAUUCCUGCUGUGCAGAAGCAGUCUAGACUUGCCAGAGGCUGAAAAAAUAAAAAUGUCGCAUUUUUGCAAGCAGAUGGCCAGAGGGGAGUGUGUGCAUAGGGACUCUGCUGCUGCCAGGGAGAAGAUGAGUUUUAAUAGUUUUAGUUCUUCAUCAGUCACUCCUUUUAUUGUGUCCUCAAUGACAUUAUCUUACAGGUACUGAUUCAUAUGUCUGUUUAUUCAAGGAGACUACAUGCUUUUCAGGCUCCUAAUGUACAAAUUCCUAAGUAAGUCCAUUUUUACAGAAGGGCCCUGAUCUGAAUCUUUAGUAUGCUGUUAGCUGGUAUCUUUAGUAAGUGUGUAUUUGAAUGUGAGCUUUGGUAAGCUUUUUUUUUUCACUCAAAUAUUUCUUUACAAAGAGGAAUAGUCCUGCUAUCUGGCCAUUUGGGGUUGAGUUUUCAUUCUGGAAUCAAAAUAACUUACAGAUGACUUCUCUACUGCGUUACUGGUGUUUUACACUUGGACUGUUAUUGAAAUCAGAAGUAUUUGACAUCAGAUGGGACUUUUUGUCUAUUUCCUCCCACAGAGUUCAUCACACAAAAUAUGUGCUUUGAGAAAUUUACCUUUGGACUAGAAAAAAAUAGUAAUUAGUAUGCAAAUUUAUGAUGAUAUAAUCAUGAACUAAGUUGUUUCCACUUUCUUAUACUCUUUAAUAAAGUAGUGUCCCUGCUCUAUCAGAUACACCCGUGUGUAACACCGAUAAGAUUUUUUUUAUCUGUAAUCCAAAGUAAGGGAACCCUGGCAACAUAUUGUUAGAAUAUGGUCUUUGGGGCUACUGAAAAUAGUUUUUCUUCUUCAUUCAUGCUCUUAGGAGCCAGAGAAUUCCAGAUUAGGUCUUCCUAAUGUAGGAACUUAAGGAAUAAAUAGAUGACUACAUUUUAAGAUGCUUUCUGUAGAUCAUGAGCCAGUCUUGUUGACACUAAAAUCUAGUUCCUAUCUGUGUCCACAAAGAAGCCUUAGAAACUAAAUGUGGCUUCUGCUUUGGGAUUGAGAGAUGCUGGCUUGAUGAAUUUUCCCUAUCAUUAUUUACAAGUAAUCAUAUUCCCUAGUGAGGAAGGUACCACCGGAAGACCAAUGCAGUACAUAAUGAUUUGUUUCUCUGCAGGUAACUCCCCCAACCACAGAGGUAGCCUUUCAACGAGCACUAUUGGAGUGUUUGAGCCUGCUCUACCCAUUUCCCUGGCAUAUACUAAAACCAGCAGAGAUAGAUGGAUUUUUGUUUUUGAGAAUCUAUUAUUUAUCCUAAGGAUACUAAUACCAGCAGUUACUAAUACCAAUGGAGAUAGAUGGAUUCUUGCUUCUGAGAAUCUAUUAUUUGUCUUAAGGAUAGACAGGAGUGUAUUGCUAUUGACUCACAUGAAUGAACAUUUCAGGAAGUAUUUUGUGAUCCUCUUGGAACUGGCCAUUCUAAGUUCUUACAUCUUCAGAAAUCUGACUGUGAAAAGGUUCUAAUGAUUAAUAGACAGCCCUAAGUUUCUGUUCAAAUCUUUCCCCUCAAAUUAUUGGCUGUAUAUAUUUAUUAGGGGUUUGACUGUUUUUAUAUUUACUUCCAAAAGAAAAAUGUCAUCAGCAAUACUUAUUAGUCUCCAAUCCCAUUCACCAAAGUUCGUGCUUUAAGUCUCAGACAGACAUUUCCAAAAGCUAAGAUUUAAAAUUUUAUAAGUCUAUUAAUUUCAGUGAUCUAAUUCUUUGCAAAAGUUAGAUGUAUAAAAAAAUCACCAAAGAUGAACUUGAUAAUGAUAUGUUUUAUGAUAGUCAAAAAUAUGAAUCUAACUAUGUCAUAAGCUCACACAGUUAUAUAACAAAAUCUGCAAGUAGGUAAAACAGUUUUGGCAUUAAUUUUCAUUUUGUUAUCUCUGAGGAAAAAGUGAAAUUCAUAACUUCAUGUUUUUAAGAAGAUGUCUUAACUGUCUCAAACCCUCUGAGACUGAACCAAGUUAUAAAUAAAUUAAUACAUUCUUACAUAAUAAAUGAAUAGACUCUAUUAUCUUUAUACAUUUCUUUGGGUGCAGUUGAUUCUCUAUUAUAUUCAUUAUCUGUUGUACUUGUGAUUUUUUGGGUUCUAUUCUGCAGUGAUUGUAAUUGAAUUUUAUUUAUUUUUUAUUAGCUAUUUUCUUUAUUUGCUUUUCAAAUGUUAUCCCCUUUCGUAAUUUCCCCUUACUUUAUGUGGAAUUGUGUGAAUCUACAUAUGUGUAUAUGCAAUAGUUUCACUUAUACUACUAGAAUAACUACAAUGUUUGCUAGUGAGGAGCAUGGUGAUUUAUCUCUCAUGUGUGAGUACAUAUAUGGUUAGAGUGGGCACUAGAGCUAAACUCUUUCUUACCCCACAGUUUAACUGGUGGAAUACCCUGUUACUUUGUAUGGUCAUGAGUAAGAUAUCAGUGGUUAUGACUCUCUGUUACUUUUAAGCAGUUGAGAAAAUGUCCAUGCAUUCUGGGGCCUAGGUGAAGACAGGUGAACAGUUCAUCAAAAGAUGAACUUGGCUAGAGAGUAGCUCUUAGCACGUGACAUUCAAGAACAUUGAACUUAACCAAUUUCAAGGAAGUUGGGUGGCAUUUUAAGGCAUUUUUAUAGACUGCAUGUUAUGGCUAUAGCCUGUACAUGUACUUCAAUUUAUUGAGGACUACCCUCAGUCAAACUUUGGUUAUUUGACUUUACCUAGACAUUACAUGGCUGUAAUAUGUGAUUGGACUAACCAAGAGCAAGUAAUCAAGAAUAACUAAGAGUAAGAGGUACUCAGUAGUAACCUGACUACAAAAAUUACAUCUACACAUUUCUGUCAUUUACUGGAACUUGAAAAGUAAUGUUAAGAGAAGAAUUUUUAAAAGAUAGAUUGAAAAUAAGUUCUCUGCUACUAGGGAGUUUAUCAAAGAUACUGCCAUGUCUAUAUAUUGUUAUAUAUUAUUCAUGUUUAUUGCAGUAAGUCUGUUACAUAAUUUUUAAAAUUCAUGUAAGUAUUUGAAAAUUAGAAUAUUAUGCUCCCAGUAUAUGAAAUUUUGGUUAUUCUCUUAUUUAGCACAUGUUAUGAGGUAUAAAAGAUCCUUGGAUUUCUCAAUAGAUGACAGAAAACAAUACAUGCCAAUAAUACAUAUAUUUGGUACCUCAUUGUAUAACAACAAAAGCUAUAAAUUUUUCUUGUCCACUGUUUUCUUUUUAUUUCCAGUGCAAUUGAUGCCACUUAACUUUGCAUAAAGCUCACAUACCCAGCCCAAGGCUCUCAGAAACACAUAGCCAUCAGGAAAUCACAUUGUGUCUGCUCUCUGGGAGUUUUCAGAGUUCCCAUGAGGACAGAACCACUGGCUAACUCUUCUGCUGGGAAAUUAGACUCAUAAUGGCUUUGAUGAAUAUUGCCUUUCCAACAACUGGGCACAAUUUUUAUUUUUUAGGGCACAGUUUUGAUACUAUAAACAGUCUCUUUAUGGAGUGAAAAGUUAGGCCAUUAUCAGAUGAUCAUAGUUUUAGGAAAAUUACAGAAAAUUGCAGUAUAGAGGACCUUAAAUUGGUGAGCACUGCGUGUAUCUGGCCAUAUGGGCAUCAGUCAUGGGUUUGGAAGAGACUCUGAAAGAGAAUUAUCUCAGGAAAAAGUCCAAUACACUUUAAUAAAUGGGAGCUCUGUGGAUAGCUCUGGUGUCAAUUUUGCUGUACUCAUGGGCUGGACAUCAAGAAACUAUGUUGAAGAUAGGAUAGAUGAAUAGGUAGUCUAUUUUCUUUCUUUACCAGUCAUUUCACUUUAGAUUUAUAUUAGUUUUCUCUCUGGGUUUAAAAGACUUCUGAGACCUGAAGUACUCACAUAAAAUGUUUCUGUUACACUGAGCUUUGAAACAUACCCAGAAAAGACGCUCAGUGGCAUUCAUGGAGAGGGGCAUCGGUCCAGGUAGAUGAUACAAAGACAUUCUCAGCUAACACAUAUAAAAACUAGCAAGGAGAAUAGGAGGCAUAAAAGCUUAUAGGGAAGUAAGCAAAUCCAGAGGUGUCAGGAUCUGAAGCUAAGAGGCAGGGUGGUCACCAAUCAUGAGGAAAUCAAAGGCAGGCUCACCGUAAAACUAAGCUCAACAAAGUUGAAGCUCCAUGUUCUGAGCUUUCUUUCUUCUGUAUGCUUACUAAAUAUUUUAAUUCUAAUUAUUUUUUACACAAUUUGACUUAUAUUUGGACCUCACAAUCACCUGUCUUUUCAAAAUGUUUCCUUUGGCCAUCCUAUAUAUACUUGAUAAAAUUCAAAAGAAUGUGACUGUUAAAAAAAUAUUUUCUGUGUGUUUUCAUGAGUAACUUCUGAGUUUAUCUGAGCCUACAGUAUAGCUGUUACAGUGUUUAGGACAUUUUAUGUUCUUCUUAUUUAUUCAUAUUCUUUACUUUCUUCAAAUUACUGUAGAGCAUAUAGUUUAUCCAUGUAAAAAGCAAAAUUAAGUGAUAUUCUUUUGUUCAUUCAUAGAAUUGUACAAGUUUCACCUUAAUGAAUUUUAGAAUAUGUUCAUGACCCUCAGAGAAACUCUACCCCCCUUAGUAGUUACUCUGUGGCCAAUGUCUCUCUUCUCCCAGAAGUAAGGAUCUAUUUUCCCCCUCCCAGAAUUGCGUAUUCAAGGCCAUUCCUAAAGAUAGACUUGUGUAAUAUGCAGCCUUUUGCAAUUGCUUGCUUUAACUUUCAUAUAUUCUCAAGGUCCUUAUAUCAUUACAAGUAUCUAUCUUUUAUUACUUGAUUGGUGGAUAGUUGUCUGUUAGCUGCUGUGUAACUAUUCGGUUAUAAUACUUCUUUUAAUCCAUUUAUAGUCAACAGACACAAGAAAUGCUUGCAUCUUUGAACAUCAUGAGUAAUGGCAUGAAUAUUCUUUUGUGAGUUUUUAUGUGGUUAUGUGCUUUCUGUUUUAUUGGGUAUUUGCAAAAUUAUAUUUUGGGUCAUAUGGCGACUUUAUGUAUAGUAUUAUAAAGAAUGUUCAAGCUGCUUUUAAAAGCAGUUAUAUAAUUUUAUAUUCUCAGGAACAAUAUAUGAGUGUUUUGUUUUCUAUACAUUCUUAUCAAUUCUUGUUAUUUCUUACCAUUUUAUUGAAGACAUAAUAAUCUGAAAAGAUUUUUGCAUGCCAGGCAUGGUGGCACACGCCUUUAAUCCCAGCACUUGGGAGGCAGAGACAGGUGAAUUUCUGAGUUUGAGGCCAGCUUGUUCUACAGAGUGAAUUCCAGGACAGCCAGGGCUACACAGAGAAACCCUGUCUCAAAAAAAAUAAUAAUAAUAAGAUUUUUUUGCUUUAGAGUUGGUUUGAAUUUACCUAAAAUUAAGAAUGUUGAAUAUCUUUUAAUCUACUUAAAAACCAUUUUUAUUGUAGUUGUAAAAACAUCUAUAUAAAAUUCUUUCUCCAUAUCUAAUUAUUUUAUGUUAUUGAAAUAUGAAACUCCUCCUAUGUCCUGCCCAACAUCUAACAGGUUUAUAAUUGUAAUAUUUUCUGUUCAAGUAUCCUCAUUCUUUAACCAUGUAUUGGCACUGUUAUCUGGACUAUGACUUUUAAAAAAUUUAACAAAUCCUAACAUAACCUCCUGAAAACACCAUUUUAAUGAACCUAUGUGUAACUCAAGGUCACAGAGACUAUCUCUGAUAUUUUCUUCUCAGCAUUUUACAGCUUUAGCUCUCACAUUGUUCCCUCCGAUCAAUUUGGAGCUCAUUUUUGCAUGUGGUAUGUGCAGAUAUUUAAGUUCAUAGUUUUUCUUGUUGAAAAAAAGUCUAUUCAUUCCUCACUGGAUUAACUUGGGGACUCUUUUUUUGAAAAAGAUGUUAAGUAUGAAUAUCUUUGUGGAUUUCAUUCUUUCCUACUGAGUUGAUGUCUCUCCUUCUACUUGGUAUAAGCUAACAAUCAUUGAGAAGCCACCACUGUAGUGUUGAUGUCAACAUCAUAAAAAUUUUAAUGCUCACAAGUUAUUUGUUUGCUCCAAGCCAUGAAAGUAUAAUGAGAGAAAGGUGAUUUCAAUAUAAUCUAUUUAACUCAAAAACUCUUAUCUUUUCUAUAACACUGGGUUUUUUAGUGAUGGGUGUGUUUACUGCGUUUUCUGCUUAGUUUUUUAAGGCACAUGUAUUGGAUCAUUAUGAUUCAUUAAUACCUUAUUUCAACCAUAUUUAUGCACAUCUUUAAUAGUCACAGCCAUUAUUUACCUAGCUAAUUGUGUGAUACAUAUUAAUAAAGAAAAUGCACAAAAAUUCAUAGGAGGCCAUCAAUAAAACUUGUUGCAUUAGCAUGUAUAAAAAAAGCUAGAAGUGAGAAAGGAAUAAGAUACUAAAAUCAAGUUCAAGCUCUUCAACUCUUCAGUAGUAUGGAUUGGUAUGUUACUUCCUUAUACCUAAUAUUCACAAAUAUUGAUCACAAGUCAACACAGGCAAAGCUAAAAUUAUACAUAAAACUCUCCAAGUUAAAAUUACACAUAAAACUCUCCAAGUAGACAUCAUAAUUACUGUUGUGUUUUCUAAGUGCAGUCAGUGGUCCCAUUAUUCAGGUUUAAGAAAAAACUGCUAUCUAACUGUACAUUCCAUUUGCAGGAAGCAUAAAGCUUAUAAACUCUUCAGUUAAUUAUGACAAACUGGAAGUAUGGUUCAAACAUAGAUAAACUCCAAGGGAGGUUCUCAAUCCAUUCUGCAGAGCUCAAUUGAAUUUAUGCUUUUAGCCAGCAGUGGUCUUGGAGGACAGACAGAUGGUAUUAGAACAGGGACCCUGAUGGUGCAUGCAAUGUUAGCUUUGGUUGAUACCAUCACUUACUAUCAGCAGCAUGCAACGUUCUGUUAUCUGUUAUUCUAUUAUGUGUUGGCAUUACAGAGGAUUUGAAAUGAAGCUUAAUAAUUACUCAACCAAAACCUUUACCCACUACUAAAGGAGAGCGGGUUGAUAUAAAGGAAUGAGAUGUGGACUCAAACAAAAAGAUUGUUGACAUCUUUUACUAGCUUUAUGACUCUUUAUCAAGUUAGCAUAGCAAUUAACACAUACUUCAAUUUCAGAAUUUUAUUUCAAAAUUGGAGAUAACAUAUGAAUGAAUCUUAGUUUUUGGUAAAUACACACUACAGGUUAAUUUUGAAAGUUGGGUUAUUAUUACCAGCAAUGAAGAUAUCUCAAUGUGGCUAUAGUUUAAGUUCUACUGGUUCUCAAAGAGACCUGAGUAAUGAAAUAUGGCAAAUUGGUCUACUUUCAAUUCAUCCCAAAGCCUCUAGAGUACAAUUGAGAAUACAAAGUUUGGAAAUGUAAAAGGGUUAACCUGCAAACAGGAUAAAGGUGUUUUUUUUUUCCCCUGAUAGUCAUUUUUUAUAACUUCUAUAAUACCGAAAGCCUUUUCUGAAUUAAGAACUAGUGUUAUAUUUGUGUUGUCAACUUAAGUUCCAGAGAGCUAUCUUGGAAGAAAUAAUUCCACUCUCCCUUGUUGAAAGAGCCUCCCGACCCAUGUUUGGUUUGGAUUUGGAGUACACAGCAUACAUAUAAGAUGAUGCAGAUUCACUAUCCUGAAUGUAAAGCUCAUCUCUCUUAAGAACACUCCGUGUAUCACUUUCUUACUGUUAUCUGCUUUCUUGUUUGCUGGUGUUAGAUCUCCAGGGCAAAUCCACAGACACAUGGAGAGCUUUCAAUUUGCAUAUUGAUGACUAUUCACAGACCAGCUAGAGACAUGAAUGACAAAUCUUCCAAAGAGUAAGCCCACUCAAAGCCGAAAUUGUACAAGCAUAGGGCCUGGGAAAGGGUACAUACUGAUCACAUACUUUUAUAAAGAAUAUAUCUUUGUGAUAUUGUUGCACCUAACUUAUAAAUUUAAAAAGGGUUAAAGCCAGGUAAUGUUAAACAACUCAACUGGACAAAAUUAACAUGGGAGCUCCUUAUAUGCCUUCCUUGGGCCUGCUUUCUCUUCUCUCUGUGCUGUCCUUUGAAUUGUGUGCCAACGUGACUCAUUAGAUUUAGCCUCAGUCAUUCCUGAUAAGUGAAACUAUUCCAGGAAGCCAGGUCUAGCAACAGGCAGCUUCCUACUCCCAGUACAGAGUGGGAGUUAAUGCCAAACUUCUUGACGCUGUCUCCAACUACCUUUAGCCUCAGUGGAAUUGUACUAAAUAUUUGGACAAAAUCUGGCCCACAGUAAACUUGUAAUGAUGCUUGGCAUUACAAUGGAACUUUAAUUGCUGCAGUUCUUCCAGGAGGUCCUAACUGGCAGCAUGUAAUGUGAUCCCAUGUUUGCUGUGUAAUAAAAGCCCCCACCCCAGGCUAAGUACAACACAUUCAUUUAAUCAAAAACUCAAAUUAUAUGGAAAUAUUCAUGUCUCAAAACGGUUACUACUCCACUAUGUCCAUAAAGAAAACUAUAUAUAAAUAUUUGAAAACCCUUACUUGCUGAUCCGUGUAUAUUCAAACACCUCUGAACAAACACCUAAGUAAGAAGUUACUGCUAUUUGUAUCUGGAUUGGAUGAACCUCUCAACGUAUGGGAAGUAAAUGUGCUAAUUUAUUUUGAUAGUUAUUUUAAAUUGCAUUUUGGUGAAGCAAAUAUUUUGCAUAAUCUAAUAUCCAUGCCUUAAUUAAAUAUAUACUAUAAAAACACUUUCUUAAAAGACGUUCAGAGAAGCAGUUUGCCUCUGCAAUGAAUUUGGUCACACACCAUUGUUCUUUAGGUAGUGUCAGCAUUUUCAUUAAAAGCUGUACUCUAUUUAUAGCCUGGAAGGAAAAAUGCAUUCCGGGCUAAAACUUCAUGUACAAAAUGUUUUUCCAAAAGCGGUUUUGUAAGGUACACAUAGAUGGAAGUUUUAUAACUGUCUGAAAUCUCAAGGUUUAGAAGGAAACCCAUGAGAAGCUGACAGAGAAUUUCAUUUAUUCCUGCCUCAUAUGUAUCAGGAUAGCACACAGCAUCUGGGAUGAGAGCUGGGCUAUGAAGAGAAUAUAGUUCUCUGUCACGAAGCCAGAAAGUCAGGAUUCUUGGAUUUCACUUCUGGUUGGUCUAUUUGAUAUAGAUCAGAAGCAGCAUGGAUUCUGUGGUCACUUAGAAUGAGGCUACGAUUCCGUCUCUGCUGCUUACACAGUUUGGGGAAUUUCUUAAGCCUGUAGGGUGAGCAGGAUACACUCACUGACAAGUUGGAUGUCAUUGGACUGUGCUUAUUUCUUUUUUAAAUUCUAUUCAUGGCUGUUUGAAACUGCAUAUUCCGUUUUCCUCUGUUAGUGGGAAUCCUUAUUCUGAAAAUUUAUUUUAAAUGAAUGGUUUUUCUAAAUGUAUUUUGCCAAAAUGAAGUUUUCAGAGAAAUGAUACAGUUAAUUCCAUUCCACCUUUAAAGAAGGCAAAGUAUGGUAGAUAAUAUAUGAACAGCUCACAUGAUUUUAGAGUUGUCUAAAAGUCAUCAAUUUUGUCCCUGCAGUUUCCAGUCUAGGGACAUUUAUUACCUUACUCUGUUGACGAAAUGAGCCGAAAUUGCCAUAGUUGACUUGAAUAGAUAUUUGGUAGUCACAUGGAUAAGAUGAGCCCCUUAUAAAGAUAUAUGGAAUUUUGUAGGAUACAGCAAAGCAUUCUCUUUACAGCUACCUAGCUAAAGAAGAACCAUCGGAAGGACUGGGAGUUUGCCGUUUUUUGUUUUCAGAAUUGCUGUAUCCUAGAGCUAGUUCAUCAUAACAACAUACAUUAUUUAGUUUGUACAAACCUAGCUUAUAAUUUCUGGCUAUCUCAUUUCAUUCAUAAAACAAUCUCUUCUCCUUUUAUCCUUAAUUAAUUUGGUGUAUGUCUGCAAUAUACUUACUAUGCCCAGAUACUGUAAAUUCAAGUGGAAGAAAACAGGCAUUGUUCCUUUCUUCAUGGGGGAAGCAGAAAUAGAACAAGUAAGUGUACGUGUAAAGAUAAAUCAGUAACUGGGGUAAUUGCUAUUCAAUUCAAAUAUGUUUGAAAAGAAAAUGAUGUAUAGAAAGACAUCUAAACAGAAUGCUAAUUAAACAUAUAUUUAAAAAGUAAAUCAACUGGGUGGGGAGAGAGGUGAGAGAUGGGGUGGGGGCAGAGAAUGGAGAGAGCUAUUUUGGCAGAAUGAAUAGUAUAUACUUACACGUGUUACAGAAGGUUGCAUUUCUGAAAAACCAGAAGACCACCAUGGGAGUAAAAAAAAUAAGAUUAAUGGGGAGUGGGAAGGAUAGGCAGUGGUAGAAGACACAAGCCAAAGCAUGUUCAGAACUUCACUGAAGUGUUACAGUUUGUAAACUGAGCAGGGAGGAGUGGGUGAGUAUAUGUUGGAGUUCUGAAGUUAUUGUUCUGACAGCUAUAUAAAGAACAGGUGGGAAAUGAAAACAUAGGUGGUAGAUGGUCUCAUUUAAAAACAUAAAAGAAUCUUUUUGCAAAGAUUUUUGCAGAAAUCCGGACAAAAAUAGCUGUGGUGUGAAUUAUCUUGGUGGUGGAAAAACGAGAGAGAUGAACAAAUGUGUGGUGUUUGUGGACAGAUAUUCCAAAACACGGGAUGAUUGCACAAGUAAGUAAAAGGAGGAAGUGUGCUGUCAGAUGAAUUCUGCGCUUUGAUGCAGGUUCCUUUUAAAAAUAGUAGAGGGGGGAGUACGGAAUCUAUUGAAACGUCUCUAGACAAAAAGUUGAAGAAGACAAGAAAGCUAGUAAGUAAAGCACAAAUUCACAGUAGAUGAUUUAGCAAAGGGGUCACGGGACAGCGGUUUCAAUAAGGUGGUAGUGCUGAAGAGUAAGUAAACAUGACCAUUAUAUAUAUUUUGCACUAAUAAAAGCUUACUCUCUGUGGGAAACCAUUGAUGUGCAGUAUGGAAAACAAGAGGUUACAUAUAUAAUAGAUGUGUUUAAUUAAUAACAAAAGUCUCCUUAGAAGAUGGAAUAGAUGAGAGCUAAGGACUGUGUCCUGGUUGGUGUCUGAUAUGUAAGUGCAGAUGGGUACGGAGAGGUACUUGAAUAUAGAAGUAAGUUCGAAUGUGCCAGUGGGAAAUGUUGAGUGGGAUGUCUUCUAUUUACUAUGUGAAAUUGCAGUGAGUGGGCCUGACUGCUGAGAGCGAGAAGUGGGGAGAGGAAGGGACCAGAUGGUAGAAGCAUUAGUAUGAUGCAUAGCAGGAUUAAAUGUCUAGAGGAGAUGAAUGCAGCUUCCUAGGAUGAGCUUAAAAUGAAAGAAAGGGUUUCUCUCCGACCUGUGGAUAGUGCUGUCAGAACAAAUCACUGCAAGGUGGUGUCUCUCUGCUUUGAGUUGGCUGUUGUACAGCUCUCAUGUACCAUCUCACCAUACCACAGGCUUUCCUCAUUUGGCAGGGCACUCUCGCUGUUAAAUGUGCCUGUCUAGUUUCUUGUAAGCACAAAGGGCACCUCCAGGACAGAGAAUAUUUUUAACAUCUAAUGUAGUGUCACAUUUGUAAUAAAGAUUACCAAGAAUUACUGAACUGCUAAAAAUAAAAUCAGGUCAGACAAUUACAUAAUUCAUUGUGCAUAGAAAUGAACAAAACAACAAUAACAGUUCACCAAAUUCCAUGAGACUCAGAGCUAUGAAUGGCCCGAAGCUCUGCUCAUAACAGUUGGGGCAUAAUUCAUAAAAACAAACAAACAUAUAAACAAACCACAAAAAGAUGAAGGACUCUCAUCAUUUUCAUGAUGGGUGAGUAUUCUUGAUCAUUCCUUUUAAAACAAAAACUUCCUAUAUUUGCUUAUUGCUUGUUGGUCUGAUUUUACUGAAGCAUGCAGAGACUAAUAUAAACUUAUGUUUAGUUUUUGAUCAAAUUACCUUUUAACUGUGGUUAAUGAACAAAAUUAAAGUAUCUUAUUAGAUACAUGUCACAUAGGGGACAAAAUUUAUUUUUGGGAAUGCAGGACAAAAGCAUUCACCCUUUUACAAUUUGGGUUUAUACAAUGAAAUACAGGUAUGGCAAACAUUUAUUUUUCUGAUUAAACAGUGACCACCUUUGUUCUUUGAGAAUUGCUAUGUGCUACUUGUUGGGAUUGUUUUUAUUUCCAGAUCCUCCUUAGAGCCUUACAGGAUGAAUCAUAACCAUAUAGCAGAAUAUUCUACUGUUAUGCACUUUCUUUGUACCCUGAUUUCUUGUGAGAAGUGGCCGAACCUUCUUAACUUUCUUUUCUGAAAGGUCAGCAUAGGCCAUCACCUGUGCAUGGUGCUUGGGAGACAUCCUUAAAAGUGAAAACUGUGAAGUUCAGAAGACAGUCAAAGUCAAUGGGAUCUUCUGAGUCUUCACUGUGAUGCAUGUCCUUCCAUUCUCAGCUCUUGGUCUCACUGUUGACCAAGUGAACUGGAGCUGAGUAUUUCUCUGAAUGUCUCCCUGUCCUACAGCUUUCUCACAUGAUUCAUUAUUUCCAUGUAACGGAAAUGGUGUAAAAUUAACUGAUCUCCAUUUUUAUUUCCUAUCUGUGCUACAAUCAAGUAUAUAUAUAAUAUGUGUGUGUAUGUAUGUAUAUAUAUAUAUGUAUAUAUAUAUAUAUAUAUUUUUUAUUUUUUCUAGACAGGGUUUCUCUGUAUAGCCCUGGUUGUCCUGGAACUCACUCCGUAGACCAGGCUGGCCUCGAACUCAGAAAUCUGCCUGCCUCUACCUCCCAAAUGCUGGGAUUAAAAGCAUGUACCACCACUGCCUGGCAAACAAGAACAUUUUAACUGAAUCCUCUUAUUCAUACUUCUCAUAUGUCAGUGCGUGAGCAAAACAGUCUGAAAACCACAACUCUCACCAUCCGACUUUCCCUCUUACCUAAAACCUUUUAAUGGCUUUCCAUUUCAAUCACACGAAUUUCAUAUUGUUGUCAACCACUGGCUUCCUCUGAUUCCUGGGGUAACAGCCUUUCCCUGCGUGCUAACUCAGUAUUUCAGUUCUCCAAAUUUCAAGAAUUCCUGCCUAGGGGCAUUUGCUGCUACUCCAUCAUGUGUCCAGAACAUUUUUCUUCACACACUGAGGAAUGUCUUCUGAGUGUUUAUGCAUCUUAAGGCAAAUGUUACCUGUUAGAGAUACCUUCUUCCCAUAGAUAUCCCCUGGGAUAUCUAUUUCUCCUUCCUUCCUUACAACAAAUUCCCUAUUAUCUUCCUUUAAAAUUUCCCAUCACAAUCAUUCUGCUAUAUUCACUACAGGUUUGUGUUUUUUUAACCUAUUAUAGUGUCUGAGGCAUACACUUUGCUAAGAAUUUGUUUAAUGAUAGAUACUUCAGUAAUAAAUGAAAAUAAAGAAAUUAGUGAACAGAGAAUGAAAAUGGAAGAAGGUAAACCAUACAUGGCUUUGAAUAGACAACCUAGAGAAACAAGCACAACUGUACAUGCAAAGCCAAAGACUUAAACAUGCAGGCUCAAUAUUACAUAACACUUGUUCUCUUCCGCAUUGUUUUGUUGUUCGUAUUUCAGAGUAACUUACUGUGGUCCAAAAAGAUUUAGAUCAUUUUGCAAGUUACAUUUUCUUGGUGUACGUGUUAAGAAGCAUAAUAUCAAUACACCAUAGUCAAUUAAUUAUAACAAGCUGCUUCAUUAAAGAAAAGUUAAGUCCACUGACCUUUGAGUGAUUUGCACAAAUGCUUGUAGGAAUGCAAAGUCAUAAUGGGGAGGGGCACAGGGUUUACAGAAUCAUGAUGCGCCGUUCCUUCCUGAUCAUAGAGUGCGUCUUUAUUUUAAUUGAUAUUUUUUUAUAUGUUCUAAUGAGUCCAGUUUGGGGAGCUAAUAAAUUUUCAUGCUGCACAAUGUUUGGCAGAAUUGUGAUUUCCUUUGGCUGUUCUGUUUUCAAGUAUUCAUUUCUAUUCUUCAUCUAGGUUUUCUUUUACUAAAGGUUCAUAGCACGGGUGUCUACUGUAGUACUUACAGGAAGUAGUUAUGGGUAACUCAGUUUCGCACUCACCUGCAACUAUUGCUUCUGAUCUUGUGUUCCACUAGCUUUGGAUUCUUCAGAACAGUGCAUGUGCAUGUGUACAGAACCCUGGGGGAAAUGAAAACAAAAGUAGACAAAUGAUUUUAAUUUAGUCAUACUAAAAAUAAAACCAAAGUUAUUAUGAUUGGUGGAUUCUAGAAUAUUUUCCAGUGAGCCCAAAUUAUAUGUCAACAAUGAAAAACAGUCAGAAUUAUGAAAAUCCAGGUGAAUAGAAAUUAUAGAAUUAUGUGUGUUAGAAAGCUGAAUAUUGUGACUCUUUAUAUAGCUCAUCUCUUUGUACUAUACACUAACCUGUAGAAACACUCUCUACAAAGGAUCAGCCUACCACACUGGGCUGGGACACAGAUCAGUGCCUUAAUAAACCACUUAAGUCAUACAGAAAAGGUUUUGUUUUUUAAAAUGUAUAUGGGUAUCAGCAGAGAGAUUUACAGCUGGACAAUGUGCAGACAUUGAAGCACUCAGUCCUAAAUGGGCUAUCUUCCUGAAUACCUUCCCGUCUUGGCCCAGAUAUCUAUAAAAGAGAAGGCAGAAAGACUAUACGCAGGGGUUAUAGAUGACUACAACACAGCAGUGUAACCAGGCACAACAGAACUGAUGCACAUAUGAAAUCACAGAGACUGUAGUAGCAAGUGCAAGGCCUGUAUAGGUUUAAUCCGGGGUAGGGGACAGGGGGCAGGGAAGGCUACACUGAGAAGAGAAGUGCACAUAAAGUCUCACUACUAACCAAGAAGCUAUUUACAGUUGCUAACCACUGGCAAAGGGAAAAUUGGUUUUCUUCAGUGGAGUCUCACUGGGUAUAUUUACCACAUUCCAGGCCUUAUGUCCAGAAGAAGUUGGCCAACACAAAACAGCAUGUUGUUGUUGUAGUUGCAGGGGUGAUGUUGGUAGUGGUGGUGGUGGUGGUGAUGUGUGUGUCUGUGUGUGUAUAUGUUUGUGUGUGUGAAUUUCUUGUUUUGUUUACUUUGGGGUGAAGUUUGUUGUUUGUCAUUGUUUAUUGGUCUUUUAAUUAUUUGUUUUGGUGUUUGAAUUUUUAUGGGUAUUGUUUUUAUUUUCUCUUUCUAGUUCUUUUGAGAGGGAUAGAACAUAAAGUUUGUUGGGUAGAGAGCUGGGGAGAAUCUUUGAGGUAAAACAUAUAAUUAUAAAAUAUGUUAUAUAAAAAUUAAUUAGUUAAAGUUGUCAUGUGUAGAAUGGAAAAGACAAUAGACUAAUAAUAAAUCAAAUCUAAUUUAUGGUAUAUCUUCAAUUUUUCUAUGGCACUUAAGAUCAACUAGAAGAGAUGUUUUAGGGACAGGGGCAUUGUGAACUGAAUAAUUUCAGUAAUUUAUUUUGAUUGCAAUAUUCUCUUCAUAAUUCAACCACCUAAAGUUGCUGCUAACACUAUUCAUUUGUCCGAUAUGAAUUACCUAUUCUUUGUAAAAUGUUUUCUAAGAAGGCAUGGUGGUGAAGUGCUGAGAGUCAUUGAAUUUCAAGUCACUGUUGAAAUGCCUGAUCCAUGUUUGACCUUGGACAAGUUGCUUAAUAUUUAAGCUUAGUCUACUCAUACUUUUACUUAUUAUGUUAUUUUAUAAAAGAGUCAGAUGGAAAUAAAACAUUUUCAUUCAAAUUGAAAUAAUUAUAUAAAUCUAUCAACACAUUUCUUGGCUCAGGAUUAGUACUUGGCAAAUAAAUUUUAUUCUUCUACCUCUUGUACUUAUUUUCAUUUUGUAAAAUUAAUACAGUAUUUUCAACAAAAGUAAUGUUUUAUAAUAAGGUGAUGGUUAAAACAUAAAACAUUCGUACUGGUACAGUGACAGACAGGUAGAUCAAUGGAAUAGAAUUGAAGACCCAGAAAUGAACCUACACACCUAUGGUCACUUGAUCUUUGACAAGGGAGCUAAAACCAUCCAGUGGAAAAAAAGACAGCAUAUUCAACAAAUGGUGCUGGAUCAACUGGUAGUUAGCAUGUAGAAAAAUGUGAAUCGAUCCAUUCCUAUCUCCUUGUACAAAGCUCAAGUCUAAGUGGAUCAAGGAACUCCACAUAAAACCAGACACUAAAACUUAUAGAGGAGAAAGUGGGGGAAAAGCCUCAAAGAUAUAGGCAGAGGGGAAAAAUUCCUGAACAGAGCAGCAAUGGCUUGUGCUGUAAGAUCGAGGAUUGACAAAUGUGACCUCAUAAAAUUGCAAAGCUUCUGUAAGGCAAAAGACACUGUCAAUAAGUCAAAAAGGCCACCAACAGAUUGGGAAAGGAUUUUUAUCAAUCCUAAAUCUGAUAGGGAAGUAAUAUCCAAUAUAUACAAAGAACUCAAGAAGCUGGACUCCAGAAAAUCAAAUAACCCCAUUAAAAAUGGGGUACAGAGCUAAACAAAGAAUUAUCAACUGAGGAAUACUGAAUGGCUGAGAAGCACCUGAAAAAAAUGUUCAACAUCCAUAAUCAGGGAAACACAAAUCAAAACAACCCUGAGAUUCCACCUCAUACCAGUCAGAAUGGCUAAGAUCAAAAAUUUAGGUGGCAGCAGAUGCUGGUGAGGAUGUGGUGAAAAAGGAACACUCCUCCAUUGCUGGUAGGAUUGCAAGCUUGUACAACCACUCUGGAAAUCAGUCUGGCAAUUCAUCAGAAAAUUGGACAUAAUACUACCGGAAGAUCCAGCAGUACCUAUCCUGGGCAUAUACCCAGAAGAUGUUCCAACUGGUAAUAAGGACACAUGCUCCACUAUGUUCAUAGCAGCCUUAUUCAUAAUAGCCAGAAGCUGGAAAGAACCCAGAUGUCCCUUAAUAGAGGAAUCUAUACAGAAAAUGUGGUACAUUUAUACAAUGGAGUACUACUUAGAUAUUAAAAACAAUGAAUUUAUGAAAUUCUUAGGCAAAUGGGUAGAUCUGGAGGAUAUCAUCCUGAGUGAGGUAACCCAAUCACAGAAGAACUCACAUGAUAUGCACUCAGUGAUAAAUCAAUAUUAGCCCAGAAACUUAGAAUACCCAAGAUACAAUUUGUAAAACACAUGAGAAUCAAGAAGAAGGAAGACCAAAGAGUGGAUACUUCAUUCCUCAGAAUGGGGAACAAAAUACUCAUUGAAGAGGUUACAGAGACAAAGUUUGUAGCUGAGACUGAAGGAAGGUCCAUCCAGAGACUGCCUCACCUGGGGAUCCAUCCCAUAAUCAGCCACCAAAUGCAGAUACUAUUGCAUAUGCCAGCAAGAUUUUGCUGAAAGGACCCUGAUAUAGCUGUCUCCUGUGAGGCUCUGCCAGUGCCUGGCAAAUACAGAAGUGGAUGCUCACAGUCAUCUAUAGGAUGUAACACAGGGGCCCCAAUGGAGGAGCUAGAGAAAGUACCCAAGAAGCUGAAGGGGUCUGCAACCCUAUAGGAGGAACAACAAUAUGAACUAGCCAGUACUCCCAGAGCUCAUGCCUCUAGCUGCAUAUGUAGCAGAAGAUGGCCUAGUUGGCCAUCAUUGGGAAGAGAGGCCCCUUGGUCUUGCAAAGAUUAUAUGCCCCAGUACAGGGGAAGUCCAGGGCCAGGAAGAGGGAGUGGGUUGGUUGGGGAGCAGGGUCGGGGGAGUGUAUAAGGGACUUUUGGGGUAGCAUUUAAAAUGUAAGUGAAAAAAAAAUCUAAUAAAAAAGAAAAAAAUUUUAAAAAGGAGCAAGAAAAAUAUAAAGCAUUAAUAAUUUAAUAUAUAUGUGAUGUGACAAUUCAUAAGGAGAUGUGUGUGAGUGGAUACUUUAUAGUAGCCUUUUGAACACAGUGUUACUACUUAAGACUGUGGUAGGAAAGCAUUUUAUUGUUUUGCAGUUGAUUGAACCCAGAUUUUUCACUAUUUGAAUUGUAUCAAUUUGCCAUCUAUAGACUAUUGAAAGACUACAAAGACCUGGCAUGGCCAUAGAAUUAAUUGCCUUUCUAUGUAGCCCCUGCAAAGCUUGCAAGGCAUAAAGAUUGCCAAAAAGGGAAAAAAGACAGAUUAUGAAUAGCUUUCUAUCUCCAAGGUGAUUCUACUAUAAAUGGAAUAAAAUGUAUGAAUAGAAAGUGCAACCAUCUAAUCUUGGCCACACAUGUGGUUCUAUGGCAUCCUUAACUUGGCAUCCUUAGAAUCACUGAUUAGAUGUUAGCCAUGUGCUGGAAGACAGUCUGAUCUUUGCACAAUGACUACUUUGUAUAAUGUCUACUGUAUAUAGAUAUUCCAGUGGACAUCAACUUAUUUAAAAAAUAAGUUAAUGUUUUAAUUGGGAAGAUAAAGCAAAAAUUCAUCAAUAGCUAAUGAAAAAUGCAGUGUUAAAUAAAUGUUAUGUUGGAAAGCAAUAUUAAAUUAUUUAAUAGCAUCCUUAAUAGAUUUUCUUCAGAUGUGUGAAGGAUAAUUUCGAACAUUUUCAUACACAUACUUUCGGUAUUAGCUGAUGCUUUGAAGGAGAAGUAUAGAAACUCAUGAGGUAAGGGACUUGCAUAGGAUGAUGGACUGUACUGUUGAGUUAAGAUGACAUUGUGGAUUGAUGGCAGUCCAAGUAAGGUACAUUAUAGCACCAGAGGAGGGCUGCAAAUGCCACCGUGUACCUCUCAGUUAUAUCAUGGACAAAGAUGUCAUUCAUUUCUGCAGUAUAGACUCUUAAAAAAAUAUUUAUGAAGAGAAUACCUGAAAAGUAACCAACAGAUUCAUAUUCAAAAGAUUAUUCCUCCUUACAACAUUUGUACAGCUUUAAUGGUCCACUUUGAACAUUCAAGUAGAUGUCAUUGUGAGAAACAUAAUUCUUUGUAGUUAAAAUGCCUCUUGUUUAGUUCUAUCCAAAAUGUUAUUAAGUACUGUUCUAUGCUAAGCAUUCAUGUGAUCAUGUUGUUAGUGAUACCUCCUUAAUGACAUUGACUGCUAUUUUUGCUUCCUCUGUUUUCUCCAUAUCACCUGACAUAUUGGUCAUUAAGUUAAUAUUACUGUUUAACAGUUUUCUACAAUAGAGUUAGGUGUAUCAAAUUCAUGACAUAUGAGCAAUAUACAGCAAAGUAUAACUACAAUGUGACAUAAAACAAAAUUGCAAGCUUACUUAAAACAUAAUGAGAAUUUUUGUGUAUGAGUCUUUUUUGUUUUUUUUUGGUUUUUUGUUACAUCAGUUUUGAGGUUCUAGAAUAUGAAUUUUGAGGGUGAUAUUGUGUCCCAAUGUCAAAAGUUUAGGCAUGUCUAGUUGGGUGUAUAAGGGCAGAGAUUUGAUUUGUGAUUUUGCAAUUAUAUAAACUGGAAAAAUAAUAGCACCUUACUAUAUAACACAUUUGAUAUAGGUUUACUGAAUGAUAUAAUGAAGGCAGUAACAGUAAUACUUACAUCAUAGGUGAAAUGAGAGUAAAGUGAUAUGUGUUAUGUCAAUCAAGGGCUGACAUAUAUGAGCUUUUAUUAUUCCUAAGAUCAAGUGUCCACAGUCUACUUGAUUGUGGGAAGAUGCUAAUGAUUUCUAUACAUUAUAUGGUACUGCUUUCUUACAGUUGGAGAAGGCAUGCCCCAGAGAUGAAAAAUAGUGACUAUCCCUCCAAGUGUAAACCCAAACUGAAUGUUUUACUGAAGGAAAAACAGUUGCAUUUUCUUUUAUUUUUUUUUUUAACAUUCCUCACAUCUUGUUCAAAGUAUCAGCUUUGCAUUUGAAUGACACUAUGUGUGCAAAAGUUUAUUUCAUAUUUCAUAUUUUUAUGAUGAUUUUAACAAGUAUUAUCCUAAAUGCCCUUUUAAAUCUUUGUAUUGUAUUAAUAAUGAGUGAUGGGUUAGCAUUCAAUCCAGUGAAAUUUUCAUUUUGAACUUUUAAAUUUGUAUGAUAUUUUCUUAGCACAUAAGUUAGAGAAAAAUAAUUGUCAAAGAGAAAAUUGGAAGUUUAUUUCUAAAUAGUUGUAGUUGCACAAGCACUUAGAGAAAUAUAUUGAGCUGAAUUUAUUCUGGUCACUUGUUUGAGCUCCAACAUGGCACUCACAAUAAGAAAUCAUAGCUAAUGUAGUUUCUCACAUGUUGGUUUUCUUAGCUAACAGAGUUUGUGUUUCACAGUCCAUGGUCAACAGUCUCCUUGACUGUCUUUGUAGUGUUAUUCAAGACUGGUUCCAGCAAGUCUCUGUGUGUCUUCAUUAGAGUAGGAUCUGUUUCAGAUUUUGUUACGGAGUCUCACCUUCCUGUGUCUGGCAAUUAAAUAAGUAUAUGCAGAAUAAAUGAAUAAAUAUAAUCUAUAGACCAGGGGCUCCCCGGGGCUAAGGCAUCUCUAAGUUUUAGUGUAUAACUCAGAACCUGAAGCCUAAGGAAAGCACACAUGGUAUAUGAACCAUGUUCACCCCUGUUUGUGGAACAGAACAACAUGAAACUAUGUAUCUGAGGAGAGUCUCUGAGCCUGAGUGAUUCAUGGGUUGGUAUCAGUGCUUCUUUGGAUGUUUUGGUACACACAUCUCCACCUAUUGAAUAUUCCAGAAGGAAUGGCUGAAUGUGACUACAUAUCACAACUUGCCCAGAGGGUGGUGAGCCUCCCCAAGGAGGACUACAUAAAUAUGUGAGGUCUGAUGCUUCAAGGCAGUUCUCUGGGAGACAGUGACUAGAUGUCGUUGGAACAUGGAAUUAUUUGCAAAAUUUGGGACAGUUUUGGUGCCUGCAGGACUUGUCAAAACAUUGUCAGGACUGUCAUCUCCAGGUGGGUACAAAAAGUUUGGAAAGUUAAUUGGCUAUUUCCUGGAUUAAGCCUGGAAAUAAAGCACAGCAGGAAGCUUCUUAGCUUUUGCCCGUUUCUUCAGUCAUUUAUAUUUCUUAAUGAAAGGGUUUUAAUCUUACUUGGAACAUUUUAAUCAAAUGUUUCUGGCCACAUAGGCCAUAUCCAAAUUGCCUGUUAUCAGAGUAAAGCAUUUCAGUUAUUAAAUAUGUCGAGUGGAAUCCCAAAAUCCUUGUAAGAAGAAGCAGGAUUUUAAGAUCCAUAUUUACCUUAUCCAUCUAUAUUUCUGUAGCAUACUUUAUGUCACCUUUAUUUCUUUACAGCUUUCACAGAAAACCCCAAAUAUAUGGGCUUAAGAUUACCAGAGGAAGAAUGCUCUAAAUAUUAUCACCAAUGAAAAUGACAAGGGGUUUACUGUUCUCUUAUCUCCUUCAUAUAAUUUUCAUUUCAUACUUAACACACUGAGAUACCACCUUUACAACUGAAGACAGGACAGCUUGACUCAGAGACCAGAGAGAUGACUUCACAACUGAGAGUACUUAUGGCUCUUGCAGAGGAGCCUGUCUUCCUUCACAGCACCCACAUUGCAGCUUAGGAUUCUCUGGCAAUCCAGUUGCAGGGGAUUUGAUUCCAGUUUUUUUUUGGCUUCUGUGGGCUCUUUGCAUGCACAUGGUACACAUUAACUCACAUAAGCAUGUAAACAUUCACAUAAGUAAAUAUUAUUAAAAAUAACAAUUCAUUUUCAUUUCCAAAUGAUGCUAUCAUUACCAUUUGUCAUUGAUUUUUCUUCCAGAAAAUAGUCCCUACCAUUAUAUGUAUGCUCAGCUCAUAUAGAGUCAGAGAUCAUUGCUAAUGUGUAAAACACAUAAGAUGGAGAACAUAUUGAAAUAAUAGCAUAUUAUACAGUUUCUGGGGCUUUCUGAAAUUUUUGUAUUUCACUCAUUUCAUCAUUUCAAGAUCUUUCUGUAUAUAUAUAUAUAUAUAUAUAUAUAUAUAUAUAUAUAUAUAUAUAUAGUAUUUAUGGUAUAUUGAAUUACAUCCAUGCUAUAAAUUUCCAUGGUAUAUCACACUAACUAUAUAUAUGAAGAUUUCAGUUGUCUUUAAGUGUUCACAUACUUAAAGAAUGUUGUAAUGAGUAUCAUUGGGAUUUAGAUGAGUUUUUGUAUGCCUCAAAUUAGAAUUCUCAGAUCAUGGUGUAUACGUAGUUCAGAAUCUGAGAAAUAUUGUCAGGCUGGAGCUUUCAGUCAGUGGUAGAACCAUUGUCUUAACAGGAAUGAGUUACAGGGUUUGAUCCCCAACACACAGUUCUGUCUCUGUCUCUGUCUCUGUCUCUGUCUCUGUCUCUGUCUCUGUCUCUGUGCCUGUCUCUGUGGCUGUGUCUAUCUCUUUCCCUGUGUCUCUGUGUCUAUCUCUGUUUCUGUGUCUUUUUGUCUGUCUCUGUGUCUCUGUGUGUGUCUGUCUCUCUCUGUCUCUCUCUCACUCACUCACAUAAAUACACACAAUUGCUUUAGAAUGCAUGCUUAAAGCAAUACUGUUAAAAUAAUUCUCUAAACUUAAACUCUCAACCAUGCGAAUUUUAUAUUAAAUAAGUUUGGCUUUUUCAGGUGUAAUUAGGUAAAAGGAGAACCUGUUCUAGUUUUUUUUUCUAAUGUCUUGUGUGACACCUUGUAUAAUCCUCAUGUAUUUACUGACCAGAUCCAACUUCCGUCCCUUAGAUUGCCUACUACCUUUCUAAUUCCAACUUAAUAAGCAAUGGAAAGAAGGGCACAGUAACCCCAAUUAUGCUCAGUCAGUUUUAAUGUAAUCAUAAUCAAAACCUAUUGCCAUAGAGCAUUUUUCUCCCAGCUCAUUUAUUCAACAUUUUCUUCUUUUGUGAUUCAACGUCUGAUUUAGUAUAGUCCCUGGGACAUAUGCCCUGGGACUGGGGACAAAAUAUGUGAUGGUCACCAUGCUCCCACUCAUAAAGCUUAUAGUGCAGAGGAUUUUAUCACCAUCCACAGGCAUGCUUUAUAGUAGCAUUGCUACCCUUUUCAAAAGUACUGAUGAUUUUCUCUUUACUUAAAAAAAAUGGUGUCCAGUAAUACAUUAUCAUUAAUAGACGUGGCAUUUAUUGGCUGUGGUGCGUGCAUAUACACACACACACGUUAUAGAUGUAUAUGAACAAAUGUUUAUUCCAAGGUAUGUUCCUGAGUUAACAAAAUAAAAGGAUGAAUAGAUACUUCUCUCAUCAUUCAAGCCUGAAUCCUGAUGGCAUAAUUUUUCCCCUGCUAAUGAUACAUCAGGCCCCUCAUCAUUUCCCUAUUGUUGUUGAGUUCACAUAUCUCAAAGAACUUAAAGAUAUUAUCAUGUAAGCACUGAUACCUUCUAAAAACUUUAAAAAUAUAAUUCAAUGACAGAGAAACCACAUUUAUUGAUGUUUAUUGAGUGUUUAUCCAUGAUCUCUAUGUGAAAAUAGGCAAGGAAGCAUGCCUGCAAGUUGUCAGAUGCUCAUAUAUCAAGUGGUGCUAACGCAAUUGGAAGCUAAAGACAAACAGCUCCAGGUGAGCUUGAAGACGGCAGGAACAAGACAAGCACCACUGCAUCCCUCAACAGGAAUUCUACUAAGAUUUUUUUUUCUACACUUAAAUUUUGUACUCUCCAUGGUAGCCUUGUAGCAUGGCUAUUUAUAUGCCAAUUUUAUAAAUGAAAAAGGUUAAGAACUCCCUAAGGAAUAUGUAGUCACCACUUGCCCCAGAUGACCUUUUAAUGCAAUUUCUUGGCUACUGCCAGUAAACUGAAAACAUUAUUGAUGUCAUUAUCAGAGGGGAUACUGAAAGAUUUUAUGGAGUAACUGGCAGGGGACCCCUUCUGCUUUCAUAGUCCUUAGACACAAGACUCUGACAGUAAACAGGGUAAUGAAGAAAAUUUACAAGUUACUGGGGUGACCUUUAUGAAUGAAUCCCUAUUUCUUCUGUUCAUGUUAGUAUUGGAAAAGGGAUA
rnacentral:lncRNA from 1 species